CUGGCGGCGUGCUUAACACAUGCAAGUCGAACGAAGCAUCUCGCCCGAAGAAAUGGAGUGCUUGCACAAAGUGGAUUCAAUUGAGAUGACUGAGUGGCGGACGGGUGAGUAACGCGUGGGUAACCUGCCCUAUACAGGGGGAUAGCAGUUGGAAACGACUGAUAAUACCGCAUAAGCGCACAGUACCGCAUGGUACAGUGUGAAAAACUCCGGUGGUAUAGGAUGGACCCGCGUCUGAUUAGCUAGUUGGUGAGGUAACGGCUCACCAAGGCGACGAUCAGUAGCCGACCUGAGAGGGUGACCGGCCACAUUGGGACUGAGACACGGCCCAAACUCCUACGGGAGGCAGCAGUGGGGAAUAUUGCACAAUGGGCGAAAGCCUGAUGCAGCGAACCGCCGCGCGAGUGAUGAAGUAUUUCGGUAUGUAAAGCUCUAUCAGCAGGGAAGAUAAUGACGGUACCUGACUAAGAAGCACCGGCUAAAUACGUGCCAGCCGCGGC
rnacentral:rRNA from 1 species